CCUACGGGAGGCAGCAGUGAGGAAUAUUGGGCAAUGGACGCAACUCUGACCCAGCAACGCCGCGUGAAUGAUGAAUGUCUUCUGAUUGGAAAGUUCUUUGAUGGGGGAUGAACACAGUAACGGUAACAAAUAGCAAGACACGGCUAACUACGUGCCAGCAGCCGCGGUAAUACGUAGGUGGCAAGCGUUAUCCGGAAUGAGUGGGCGUAAAGGGUGCGUAGGUGGUUUAGUAAGUUGGCGGUGGAAGUUAGGGGCUCAACCUUGGCGCUACGGUCAAUACUAUUAGACUAGAGUGCAGGAGGGGUAAGUGGAAUUCGUAGUGUAGCGGUGGAAUGCGUAGAUAUUACGAAGAACAUCAGGGGCGAAGGCGACUUACUGGACUGUAACUGACACUGAUGCACGAAAGUGUGGGGAGCAAACAGGAUUAGAUACCCGGGUAGUC
rnacentral:rRNA from 1 species